rnacentral:misc_RNA from 1 species
GAUGAAGAACGCAGCGAAAUGCGAUAAGUAAUGCGAAUUGCAGAAUUUCCGUGAGUCAUCGAGUCUUUGAACGCACAUUGCGCCCCCUGGUAUUCCGGGGGGCAUGCCUGUCCGAGCGUCAUUGCUGCCCUCAAGCACGGCUUGUGUGUUGGGCCUCCGUCCUCCUCCCGGGGGACGGGCCCGAAAGGCAGCGGCGGCACCGCGUCCGGUCCUCGAGCGUAUGGGGCUUCGUCACCCGCUCUUGUAGGCCCGGCCGGCGCUUGCCGACACAUCAAUCUUUUUUCCAGGUUGACCUCGGAUCAGGUAGGGAUACCCGCUGAACUUAAGCAUAUAAAUAAGCGGAGGA